AGUCCAUGAUGUGGGCAAUGACUAAGCAUCUUUUUGAAUCAAUCUUAUGCUUCAAAUAAUGAUUCUAAAUCUGACUAUCUGAAGCUUGCUAUAAGAUUUCUCAGGUA